rnacentral:rRNA from 1 species
CCCUUAGAUGUUCUGGGCCGCACGCGCGCUACACUGACGAAGUCAGCGAGCAUGUCCUACGCCGACAGGUGCGGGGAAUCUUGUCAAACUUCGUCGUGAUGGGGAUUGAUUAUUGAAAUUCCUGAUCAUCAACGAGGAAUUCCUAGUAAGCGCAAGUCAGCAGCUUGCGUUGAUUACGUCCCUGCCCUUUGUACACACCGCCCGUCGCUACUACCGAUUGAAUGGUUUAGUGAGAUCUUCGGAUUGGCGCCACUGCGGCUCAGCAAUGGGCUCGGUGGAUGCCGAAAAGUUGAUCAAACUUGAUCAUUUAGAGGAAGUAAAAGUCGUAACA